GUGGCAGGAUCAGUCAGUGCUAGGACUCCACUCCAGUCAUGGCUACUAAUGUAAGAGAAAUUAACGUCAUAAAAAGGGCAUUUUAUCAUAAGAGGAACUCCAUCAACAUUCUCAGCAGUGUAGUUUGCAGUGUUCCUGGAAGCGGCUCACAAGGAAAGGGACAGAGACUGUCAAAAGGCCACCAUCUGACGGCAAGUCAGGAGGAAAUCUGAACAACAUGACUGAUAAUCAUCUUACCUAUACGUUGCAAGAAAUACAAGAAAGAGUCUUGUGUCACUUGAAGACUACUAACACAGAAAGUGUGAGCUGGUAGGCAGUGUCUCUGGAAUGGGAAAAGAAGAAUCACCACUGUUUUACUACUGGAGCAUGGACUACAGGUCUGACCAUUUUUUCAAGCAGUCAGCAUGGCAGUGGUGUCCUGUGUGGUUCACUGGCCUGGUGUACCGGGAACUUUCUUAUGGACAAUGGACUGGGAGCACAGCUCCAAAUCUUUUUCUCAUCUGCUGGACCACCUGUGUAAUUGAUACUCUCCUUGGUCUAGCAAGUGAAUGAGAUGAUAAUGACACUUUUAAGCCUGUUUGUGACAGAUUAACAUAGAGGAAUGAGGAAAGAAUCAAGGAAGGGAUGGAUAUCUAUUUCCUUUUGUUUCAAAGGGUUCCUACUUCAUGCUAACAGUUUAAAUGGCAACACUUUUUGCACGUUUGUGCUAAACAUCGCAUUUCAGCUGGCUGAAGGUUUUUUGUUAAAGAUCAGUGUGCUUUUAAAAGUUGAACCUAUGCUGUCAGGACCACUGACUUUACUCCCAGGCAAGUACGGAUAGAAUUUUCGGUGUUUAUAUAUGUUAUGCGUAUACCACACAUACACACACAGAAACCUUUAAAUGUCAAGAUGUUUAGUAUAUUUUGGUGGAUUGUUUUAAGGUAUUACGUUGUACACCGUGUUGGUAAUUUCUGGUUUUUAAUAAAUGUUUAUACAUUUUUUAAAAAAAUGUUUUUAAUAAAUAAAUUCACACACAGAUGGAUU